rnacentral:rRNA from 1 species
UACGGGGGGAGCAAGCGUUGUUCGGAUUUACUGGGCGUAAAGGGCGCGUAGGCGGCCACUGCAAGUCGGUUGUGAAAUCUCCGGGCUUAACCCGGAAAGGUCAAUCGAUACUGCAGGGCUAGAGUGCAGAAGGGGCAACUGGAAUUCUCGGUGUAGCGGUGAAAUGCGUAGAUAUCGAGAGGAACACCUGCGGCGAAGGCGGCUACCUGGACGGCGAUUGACGCUGAGACGCGAAAGCGUGGGGAGCAAACAGG